rnacentral:rRNA from 1 species
AUUGAACGCUGGCGGCAUGCUUUACACAUGCAAGUCGAACGGUAACAGCACUUCGGUGGCUGACGAGUGGCGAACGGGUGCGUAAUACAUCCGAACGUGCCUAGCAGUGGGGGAUAACUACUCUAAAGAGUAGCUAAUACCUCAUGAGAUCUAAGGAUGUAAUCAGUGGACCUUCGGGCCUUGCGCUACUAGAUCGGCUGAUGGCAGAUUAGAUAGUUGGUGUGAUAAAAGUUUACCUAGCCGACGAUGUGUAGCUGUUCCAGGAGUACGACCAGCCACAUUGGAAGUUAUACUGCGUCCAGACUUCUGAGGGAGGCAGAAGUGUCGAAUGUUGGACAAUGGUCGAAAUCAUGAUCCAUCAAUGGCGCGUGCGCGUAGAAAGCCUUCGGGUUGUGAUCUUCUUUUGUGCGGAACGAAAAGCCUUCUUCUAAUACAGAGGGUUCGUGACGGUACCGUAAGAAUAAGCACCGGCUAACUACGUG